rnacentral:rRNA from 1 species
UAAGGAAUAUUGGUCAAUGGACGCAAGUCUGAACCAGCCAUGCCGCGUGGAGGAUGAAGGUCCUCUGGAUUGUAAACUUCUUUUAUCUGGGACGAAAAAAGGGUUUUCUAACUCGUCUGACGGUACCAGAUGAAUAAGCACCGGCUAACUCCGUGCCAGCAGCCGCGGUAAUACGGAGGGUGCAAGCGUUAUCCGGAUUCACUGGGUUUAAAGGGUGCGUAGGCGGACAUUUAAGUCAGUGGUGAAAUACCUGAGCUUAACUUGGGAACUGCCAUUGAUACUAUUUGUCUUGAAUGUCGUGGAGGUUAGCGGAAUAUGUCAUGUAGCGGUGAAAUGCUUAGAUAUGACAUAGAACACCUAUUGCGAAGGCAGCUAACUACGCGAAUAUUGACGCUGAGGCACGAAAGCGUGGGGAUCAAACAG